rnacentral:rRNA from 1 species
GGGUCAGUAGGCUGGUCGUGCCACCGGUACGUACUGGUCUCACUGAUUCCUCCUUCCUGAAGAACCGUAAUGCCAUUAAUUUGGUGUUGCGGGGAAACAGGACUGUUACUUUGAAAAAAUUAUAGUGUUUAAAGCAAGCUAACGCUUGAAUUCAUUAGCAUGGAAUAAUGAAAUAGGACGAUCGAUCCUAUUUUGUUGGUGUCUAGGAUUGACGUA